rnacentral:rRNA from 1 species
CUGGCUCAGGAUGAACGCUGGCGGCGUGCCUAACACAUGCAAGUCGAACGAAGCAUAAGAGAUGGAGAUCGUCAAAGUCUUUAUGACUUAGUGGCGGACGGGUGAGUAAUGUAUGAGCAACCUGCCUUUCAGAGGGGGACAACAGUUGGAAACGACUGCUAAUACCGCAUAAUGUGUAGAGAUGGCAUCAUUUUUAUACCAAAGGAGCAAUCCGCUGAAAGAUGGGCUCAUAUCUGAUUAGCUGGUUGGCGGGGUAACGGCCCACCAAGGCGACGAUCAGUAGCCGGACUGAGAGGUUGAACGGCCACAUUGGGACUGAGAUACGGCCCAGACUCCUACGGGAGGCAGCAGUGGGGAAUAUUGGGCAAUGGGCGAAAGCCCUGACCCAGCAACGCCGCGUGAAGGAAGAAGGUCUUCGGAUUGUAAACUUCUUUUAUGAGGGACGAAGGACGUGACGGUACCUCAUGAAUAAGCCACGGCUAACUACGUGCCAGCCGCCGC